GGACGGUUAGCUCAGCUGGUUAGAGCGCCUCGUUUACACCGAGGAGGUCACUGGUUCAAAUCCAGUAUCGUCCA
rnacentral:tRNA from 1 species